rnacentral:SRP_RNA from 12 species
CCUCGUCGCCAGCCAUUUCCGAGCGCGGCUCGGCAGCGGCGAUGCUGGGGUCUAGCGCGGUGAGUGAUAGUGAGUCGGGCACGGCACGAGGCAGGGCGCGCGCGAUGGCACGGAGCCAGCGCAGCUGUGCCUCUGCAGACGUUGCAGCGAUAACGACUU